rnacentral:lncRNA from 1 species
UUGAUUCAUACAAUAAAACUCACAACUUCACAAUGAAUUUAAAUUUUUUCAAAAGUUGUGUUACAAUGAAACAAGAUUCUUUUAUAUAGAAAGGAAAACAUCCCAAAUCCAAAAAAUUUAGAACAUUCUUGUUUUUAGACGUUAUUUUUUAUGCAGAAUAGAAGCAUGUGAGUUCCUUAGGUAGAGAAUCUCCAUGGCUUCCGUUUUGAGGCAAUUGCUUAUGUACCCGAUCAAUUGUGACUGACACCCGACAAACUUUUUAAAAUCCCAUUAUGUCCUUGUCUUGCGCAGAACAACAAUAACACUACGAAAAAAUUAUCCGCAAGUCAAAUGUCUCUUGCGAAUAAAAAUAUCCGGAGGCCAUUCUUCCACAACUGCAGAUAAAAAUAUCCGGAGGCCAUUCUUCCACAACUGCGGAUAAAAAAAUCCGGAAGUCAAGUGCUCACUACGGAUAAAAAUAUCCGGAAGCCAUUCUUCCACAACUGCGGAUAAAAAAAUCCGGAAGUCAAGUGCUCAAUUGCGGAUAAAAAUAUCCAGAAGCCAUUCUUCCACAACUGCGGAUAAAAAAAUCUGGAAGUCAAGUGCUCAACUGCGGAUAAAAAUAUCUGGAACCUAGUCCUGAACUGCGGAUAAAAAUAUCUGAAAUGUAAUAGUAAAUUACGGAUAAAAACGUGCAGAACUCAAUAAUGAAUUACGGAUAAAAAUAUCCGGUAGGCAUGACAGAGUACCUUUCUCUGACGAUGGUUUCUUCUCCGACUUCAGAAGCUGACGGUGGCGGCUGCUGCUCUGCCUGCGAUGAUGAAGCUCACUGAUGGUGAAGGAAACCAAGAGAGACGACGGUGGCUGAGGGUGGCUGCAGCUGCUGCUUCAAGCACAAAUGAACAAGAAGAAGAAUAGGGUUGGGUGCAUAAGAUUGGGUGCCUAUCACAUUUUAAGAUUCAUUAAGGGUAAAUUGGACUUUUCCUAUGAUUUAUUAAGGGUAGAUUGGACUUUUACUAUGUGUGAUUGGGUGGGUGCUAGUUAAAAAUGAUAUGGUACAGGGAGAAUCUGCCCCGUUUUGAUUUAACUGUGUUUAGUUUGCUAAUAGUAAACCUUGAACUACAGUUACAAUAAAAAAAAGAAUUAAAGAAUCUAGAUUUACAAACAAAGAAAUUCUAUAUUAUAACUACUAAUACUAGGCUUGAAAUAGAUUCUUUUUAUCCCUCCAUUCAUUGCAUCACAAACUCUUCUUUGUUUCCCCCUUAAGAUGCCUAACUAAAGAUGCCAAUUGAUAGAAAUAGUUUAUAUAAAAAUCAAUAACGAAUGUGAAAAUUUAUAUUUUUUCCUCAUCAUAAAAAAAAUACG